CCCCUUUAAUAAUUGUUAACAAACGCCUACAUCAACUAGCGUCGGCUUUCCGGUCGACUAUGGCGAUAAAUGGUGUUCGGAAUAAGCGAAGCGGAACCGGGGGCGGUACCCGGCGCCUCCACCAUGAAUUAAUACUUAUGUUAAGAAACAGUAAGGUUUUAAAUGGGGGCGAAACAGGGUCGACGUGCGUAAUAAAGGAUCACUUUUUGCUCGGCAUUGUUCCACCGUUAUCGGGCUUUUAUAUUAGUUGCGAACGACAACUAUUUUGAGGCUCGCUUGGCUGCGUGAUACAGCUCAGCUUCCUCUGACUAAUUCGUUUCGGCUUUGGACCUAAACGUGGGGCCUGCGAGCCGCCUAGCAACAGAAGGCUCGUAUU
rnacentral:tmRNA from 1 species